AGUGAGUGCUUUGGAUCGAGCUUCCCUGUCUGCGGCUUGUAAACAAACAGAAAUAAACCAUGCUGUUGCAUUCUGAACCUAAGGUUUGUGGUGAAGUCUUUGGGGUCCCUAUCUGGGCAUAACAUUUGGUGCGUUGGCCGGGAACCCCAGAGACCCCACCAGGACCCUCAAGUGUCCAGAGGUUUAUUGACAUCUACCGGGAGAAUUUCACAUUAUGGGCCCAGCAGCCAAGACUGAUGCUGUCCUGACACCUGUCCUGCCAACACUAUGAAGACUAUAGGAGCCUGGGAUGAUGGCAGUCUGGGUUUCCACUUGGCUGACAGAUACAUCCAAGCAUCAUUUGCUGGUGACAACCUACUGCAAAUGACUAUGAGCCCUGAACUUGCUGAAAGCUGAUGUGGACCAAUUCAGCC